AAGAGCAGUUGUUAUUGCUAUUAUUUUCAUAAACAGAUGAGUCAAAUACAGUAGUUUCAAGUAGUAGUUUAUAAGUAAAUUUGAUUUUGUAGCUGAGAGACAGUUACGAGUAGAUGAGACCAAGCAACCAAGGUGAAAUGUUCAAGAAAUAUUCAUGUGCACAUGCACACAAACUUUCUCAAGAUCUGAGCCCCACACUUACAAUAUGCUUCUGUUAUUCUCCAGUACUCCCUGUGUCUAGGCCCUGACACCAAACACAGCCUGAGUGCAGCCAAAGGAAAGUUUGGAAUCUACCCUUAGUGACAACCCUGGGGAGUACCCAGACACAAGUCAAGAAACCAUCUCACAGCACUAAGAACUGUGAAGUCAACCUCUAGCAACCUUUCCUUCUUUGAACCAUCAACCUAUGACUGAAAAUUAGAUCAAUGAGAUUAAAUCACUUGCAAUCAAGAUAUUGAGAAAAAGCCACAAUGAGGGCAAGGAUAUUAACUCUGGUGGCAGUUAUAGAACAGGCUGGAAGAGGAAGACACAUGAUACAAGAAGACCAGAUGAGAAAUUACUGUCAUUGCUCACAUGUGAGACAGGAGCUGCAACUAGAAUGAUGGCAGCGUGAACAGGAAGUUGCUAAAGACUUCGCAAAGACACAACAGGAUCAACUGACUAGAGGAUAGAGGUGAGAAAGAAAAUGAAGAGUUCGGAGAUUAAAUUGCAAUUUCAAGUCCAGAGUGUCAUAUAGUUGGAAUCACACCAUAUGUUCCCUUUUCAGAUUGGCUUCUUUCAGUUGUAAUUGCAAUUAAGGUUACUUCUUGUCUGUUCAUGGCUUGAUAGCUCAUUUCCUUUUAGUGCUGAAUAAUAUUCUAUUGUUUGAAUGAACCAGUUUAUCUAUCCAUUCAUCUACUGAAGGACACCUUGGUUGCUUCCAAGUUUUGGCAAUUAUUAAUAAAGCUGCUAUAAACACCUGUGUGAAUUUUUGUGUGGACAUACAUUUUCAAGCCCUUUGGGUAAAUGCCAAGAAGCAUGAUUGCUGGACCAAAUGGUAAGAGUAUGUUUAGUUUUGUGAGAAACUUCAAAUUGCCUUCCAAAGUGGCUGUAUCAUUUUGUAUUCCACCAGAAAUGAAUGAGAAUUCCUGUUGCUCCACAUCCUAAGCAGCAUUUGCUGUUGUCAGUGUUCUGGAUUUUGGCCAUUCUAAUAAGUGUGCAAUGGUAUCUUAUUGUUUUAAUUUGCAUUUCUCUAAAGACAUAUGACAUGGAACAUCUUUUCAUAUGCUUAUUUGUUAUCUGUAUUAGUUUGUUCUCAUGCUGCUAAUAAAGACAUAUGCAAAACUGGGUAAUUU
rnacentral:lncRNA from 1 species